rnacentral:rRNA from 1 species
CGCUGAACUUAAGCAUAUCAAUAAGCGGAGGAAAAGAAACCAACAGGGAUUGCCCUAGUAACGGCGAGUGAAGCGGCAACAGCUCAAAUUUGAAAUCUGGCGCAAGCCCGAGUUGUAAUUUGUAGAGGAUGCUUCUAGGCAGCGGCCGGUCUAAGUUCCUUGGAACAGGACGUCAUAGAGGGUGAGAAUCCCGUAUGUGACCGGCUGGCACCUUCCACGUAGCUCCUUCGACGAGUCGAGUUGUUUGGGAAUGCAGCUCUAAAUGGGAGGUAAAUUUCUUCUAAAGCUAAAUACCGGGCAGAGACCGAUAGCGCACAAGUAGAGUGAUCGAAAGAUGAAAAGUACUUUGGAAAGAGAGUUAAAAAGCACGUGAAAUUGUUGAAAGGGAAGCGCUUGCGACCAGACUUGUCGGCGGUGUUCCGCCGGUCUUCUGACCGGUUCACUCGCCGUCGGCAGGCCAGCAUCAUCUGGGGCCGCCGGAUAAAGGCUUCGGGAAUGUAGCUCCCCUCGGGGAGUGUUAUAGCCCUUUGCACAAUACGGCGUGUCCCGGGUGAGGUCCGCGUCUCGGCAAGGAUGCUGGCGUAAUGGUUGUAAGCGGCCCGUCUUGAAACACGGACCAAGGAGUCGAUUAUCUAUGCGAGUGUUCGGGCGUCAAACCCCUACGCGUAAUGAAAGUGAACGGAGGUGGGAACCCUUACCGGUGCACCAUCGACCGAUCCGGAUGUCUUCGGAUGGAUUUGAGUAAGAGCAUAGCUAAUCGGACCCGAAAGAUGGUGAACUAUGCCUGAAUAGGGUGAAGCCAGAGGAAACUCUGGUGGAGGCUCGCAGCGGUUCUGACGUGCAAAUCGAUCGUCAAAUUUGGGUAUAGGGGCGAAAGACUAAUCGAACCAUCUA